rnacentral:rRNA from 1 species
AGAGUUUGAUCCUGGCUCAGAACGAACGCUGGCGGCAGGCUUAACACAUGCAAGUCGAGCGCACUCUUCGGAGUGAGCGGCAGACGGGUGAGUAACGCGUGGGAAUCUACCUAUCUCUAGGGAAUAACUCAGGGAAACUUGAGCUAAUACCCUAUACGCCCUUUUGGGGAAAGAUUUAUCGGGGAUUGAUGAGCCCGCGUUGGAUUAGCUAGUUGGUGGGGUAAAGGCCCACCAAGGCGACGAUCCAUAGCUGGUCUGAGAGGAUGAUCAGCCACACUGGGACUGAGACACGGCCCAGACUCCUACGGGAGGCAGCAGUGGGGAAUAUUGGACAAUGGGGGCAACCCUGAUCCAGCCAUGCCGCGUGAGUGAUGAAGGCCCUAGGGUUGUAAAGCUCUUUCACCGGGGAAGAUAAUGACGGUACCCGGAGAAGAAGCCCCGGCUAACUCUGUGCCAGCAGCCGCGGUAAUAC